UGCUGGUCAUUGUUGGGAGCUUUUAGAU
rnacentral:piRNA from 1 species